GACGAACGCUGGCGGCGUGCUUAACACAUGCAAGUCGAACGGAAAGGCCCUGCUUUUGUGGGGUGCUCGAGUGGCGAACGGGUGAGUAACACGUGAGUAACCUGCCCUUGACUUUGGGAUAACUUCAGGAAACUGGGGCUAAUACCGGAUAGGAGCUCCUGCUGCAUGGUGGGGGUUGGAAAGUUUCGGCGGUUGGGGAUGGACUCGCGGCUUAUCAGCUUGUUGGUGGGGUAGUGGCUUACCAAGGCUUUGACGGGUAGCCGGCCUGAGAGGGUGACCGGCCACAUUGGGACUGAGAGACGGCCCAGACUCCUACGGGAGGCAGCAGUGGGGAGUAUUGCACAAUGGGCGGAAGCCUGAUGCAGCGACGCCGCGUGCGGGAUGACGGCCUUCGGGUUGUAAACCGCUUUCGCCUGUGACGAAGCGUGAGUGACGGUAAUGAGUAAAGAAGCACCGGCUAACUACGUG
rnacentral:rRNA from 1 species